CUGGGCACCCAGAUGUCUCCAGGAAGGACGCAGGGCCCACCCAGGCCUGUGACGCACGAGGCAGCUCCGGGGACGCUGCGGACGCUGCCGCGCAGAGAGGCCGAGCGCACGAGCCACGAUGUCCGGCCCGUGCCUGGCCGUGGCCGUCAGCGCUCACCCCUGCGGGGUCUGCGCCCGCCCCCUCAGCCAGGGCUGUGCGCGGUGCCCUGUAUGCUUCACGCCCACUCCAGUGACUUGCAGAUCAAAAUCCUACAUCAGCACUGGAUGUGCCCUGGGUAUGUGGAGACACUGAGGACAGAGCCCCAGAUCACCUUGUUCGCCAGCGCUGCUAUGGGAAUCCCGGGUGACCUGCUCCUCCCAGAGCUGUCACCAAGGGCUCUCUGAGGAGGCAGCGAAUGCAGCCGAGAGAAGAAACAGUGAAGGAGCAUUCUGGAAAAGGGAGACUGGGAGGACAUCGCAGACCCGAACCUCAGCAACCAGUAGGACACAGGAGCCGGAGCUAACACCCAGGCUGCUGCGGAAGCCCUGGGACUACUCAGCAGGAGAAGCACCGUUGUUCUCGCUGUGACCCUGGGACCUUCGCGCAGAGGCCAGAGGGAAGGAAGGCCCGUCGAGGAAGGUCGGGGGGGGGUGACGAGGCAUGGGCAUUUGGGGAAGUAAGAAGUCCCCCAAAAGCGUGAAACUCCGCAGGAUCCUGGGCGGAGAGAGAGGUGGCCGCUAAGUGGGCCAAGGUGAGGUCGCAGCACGGGUCCCGGCAGUGUCUCUGCAGCGGGGAGCAGGCAGCCCAGGCGGGACAGACCGGGCUGGGCCGACAGUCACAGAGCAGACGUGAGAGGUGACAGGGUCCACCCUGCACUUCCGGCCUCCGAAGGACCUCAGGGCCCUGGUCCCCGGCGCGUCCUCACGGAGGGGCCUGGCUCUCAGGGCGCUUGUCCCCACCAAGUCAGUGGAAAUAUCAAACAGGAAGUAAAUCUCUGCCUGUUUUUCAAAAGCAAAACUUUGUGGAGUGGUCUUUGAUCUGCAAAUGUAAUUAGCAUUAGAAUUAGAGAUGUAGCGGAUAUUUGUCUAAAAGCAUUAAUUUAAAUCCUGGCCCAGUUUUUUCCCUUAUCAGCUCUCCGUGGCAGCGGCGCCCGUGGCGGGAUCGGAAAUCGGAGGGGAACCGCGGGUCUGCGCUGGAGGCAGCUGGGCGGCGCGUGCCGCGGUGGCCGGCUCGCUUGGCGCAUCAUGCCCAUGCGGAGAUGCGACGGCGCGGGGCUGGAGCCGCAGCUCUCCGCUCUCGUCUUCUCGCUCACAUCCAGCCGGGCUUCCUCCGGCCACCGGGCUCCCUUCCCUCGGGCUUCAGGACUUGCUGUGACACGUCGUGCGGUGUGGACAGGAGAUGACUUCACAGCCAAAGCGGGAAAGUGAAAUAUGUGUUAAGCUCUCCCUCCUUCUCUGUCUCUCUGUCUUUCCCUUACUGGGAAUUAAACCUGGCGAGCCC